rnacentral:rRNA from 1 species
AGUGAACGCUGGCGGUAGGCCUAACACAUGCAAGUCGAACGGCAGCACAGGAGAGCUUGCUCUCUGGGUGGCGAGUGGCGGACGGGUGAGGAAUACAUCGGAAUCUGCCCAGUCGUGGGGGAUAACGUAGGGAAACUUACGCUAAUACCGCAUACGACCUUCGGGUGAAAGAGGGGGAUCGCAAGACCUCUCGCGGUUGGGUGAGCCGAUGUCGUCUUAGCUAGUUGGCGGGGUAAUGGCCCUCCAAGGUGACGAGCCGUCGCUGGUCUGAGAGGCGGAUCGGCCACAUUGGAGCUGGGACACGGUCCAGACUCCUACGGGAGGGAGCAGUGUGGAAUAUUAGACAAUGGUCGCGAGCCUGAUCCAGCCAUACCGCGUGUGUGAAGAAGGCCUUCGGGUUGUAAAGCCCUUUUGUUGGGAAAGAAAUCUUUCAGGCUAAUACCCUGGGAGGAUGACGGUACCCAAAGAAUAAGCACCGGCUAACUUCGUG